rnacentral:rRNA from 1 species
UGAGGAAUAUUGGUCAAUGGGCGAGAGCCUGAACCAGCCAAGUAGCGUGCAGGAUGACGGCCCUAUGGGUUGUAAACUGCUUUUAUGUGGGGAUAAAGUGCGUGACGUGUCAUGCAUUGCAGGUACCACAUGAAUAGGACCGGCUAAUUCCGUGCCAGCAGCCGCGGUAAUACGGAAGGUCCGGGCGUUAUCCGGAUUUAUUGGGUUUAAAGGGAGCGUAGGCUGUCUAUUAAGCGUGUUGUGAAAUUUACCGGCUCAACCGGUGGCUUGCAGCGCGAACUGGUCGACUUGAGUAUGCAGGAAGUAGGCGGAAUUCAUGGUGUAGCGGUGAAAUGCUUAGAUAUCAUGACGAACUCCGAUUGCGCAGGCAGCUUACUGUAGCAUAACUGACGCUGAUGCUCGAAAGUGCGGGUAUCAAACAGG